UACGGAGGGUGCAAGCGUUACUCGGAAUCACUGGGCGUAAAGAGCGCGUAGGCGGGAUAGCAAGUCAGAUGUGAAAUCCUAUGGCUUAACCAUAGAACUGCAUUUGAAACUGUUAUUCUAGAGUAUGGGAGAGGUAGGCGGAAUUCCCGGUGUAGCGGUGAAAUGCGUAGAGAUCGGGAGGAACACCAGUGGCGAAGGCGGCCUACUGGGCUUUAACUGACGCUGAGGCACGAAAGCGUGGGUAGCAAACAGG
rnacentral:rRNA from 1 species